rnacentral:rRNA from 1 species
GCUAAGACUGGAUAGGAAAUAAAAAGGCAUCUUUUUAUUUUUAAAAGACCUUUUUCGGAAGGUAUGCUUAAAGAUGAGCUUGCGCCACAUUAGUUUGUUGGUGGGGUAAUGGCCUACCAAGACGAUGAUGUGUAGCUGGACUGAGAGGUCGAACAGCCACAUUGGGACUGAGACACGGCCCAAACUCCUACGGGAGGCAGCAGUAGGGAAUUUUCGGCAAUGGAGGAAACUCUGACCGAGCAACGCCGCGUGAACGAUGAAGUAUUUCGGUAUGUAAAGUUCUUUUAUUGAAGAAGAAAAAAUAGUGGAAAAACUAUCUUGACGUUAUUCAAUGAAUAAGCCCCGGCUAACUAUGUGCCAGCAGCCGCGGUAAGACAUAGGGGGCGAGCGUUAUCCGGAAUUAUUGGGCGUAAAGGGUGCGUAGGCGGUUAGGAAAGUCUAUAAUUUAAUUUCAGUGCUUAACGCUGUCUUGUUAUAGAAACUACCUUGACUAGAGUUAGAUAGAGGCAAGCGGAAUUCCAUGUGUAGCGGUAAAAUGUGUAAAUAUAUGGAGGAACACCAGAAGCGUAGGCGGCUUGCUGGGUCUUGACUGACGCUGAGGCACGAAAGCGUGGGUAGCAAACAGGAUUAGAUACCCUGGUAGUCCACGCCGUAAACGAUGAGUACUAAGUGUCGGGAUAAAACUCGGUACUGAAGUUAACACAUUAAGUACUCCGCCUGAGUAGUACGUACGCAAGUAUGAAACUUAAAGGAAUUGACGGGACUCCGCACAAGCGGUGGAUCAUGUUGUUUAAUUCGAAGAUACACGAAAAAUCUUACCAGGUCUUGACAUGCUCUGCAAAGCUAUAGAAAUAUAGUGGAGGUUAUCAGGGACACAGGUGGUGCAUGGUUGUCGUCAGUUCGUGUCGUGAGAUGUUAGGUUAAGUCCUAAAACGAGCGCAACCCUUGUCGUUAGUUACCAGCACGUAAUGGUGGGCACUUUAACGAGACUGCCAAUUAAACAUUGGAGGAAGGUGAGGAUUACGUCAAAUCAUCAUGCCCCCUAUGAUCUGGGCUACAAACGUGAUACAACGGCUGUUACAAAGAGUAGCUGAAGCGCGAGUUUUUAGCCAAUCUCAAAAAAGCAGUCUCAGUUCGGAUUGAAGUCUGUAACUCGACUUCAUGAAGUUGGAAUCGCUAGUAAUCGCGAAUCAGCAUGUCGCGGUGAAUACGUUCUCGGGGUUUGUACACACCGCCCGUCAA